rnacentral:rRNA from 1 species
CACGAAGGGGGCAAGCGUUGUUCGGAAUUACUGGGCGUAAAGGGCGCGCAGGCGGCUCAGACAGUCAGAUGUGAAAGCCCCGGGCUUAACCUGGGAACUGCAUUUGAUACUACUGAGCUUGAGUACGGGAGAGGAUAGUGGAAUUCCCAGUGUAGAGGUGAAAUUCGUAGAUAUUGGGAAGAACACCGGUGGCGAAGGCGGCUAUCUGGACCGUAACUGACGCUGAGGCGCGAAAGCGUGGGGAGCAAACAGG